GAUGAACGCUGGCGGCAUGCCUAAUACAUGCAAGUCGAACGGUAACAGGUUAAGCUGACGAGUGGCGAACGGGUGAGUAAUGCAUCGGAACGUGCCCGGUCGUGGGGGAUAACGCAGCGAAAGCUGCGCUAAUACCGCAUACGAUCUGAGGAUGAAAGCGGGGGACCGUAAGGCCUCGCGCGAUCGGAGCGGCCGAUGUCAGAUUAGGUAGUUGGUGGGGUAAAGGCUCACCAAGCCAACGAUCUGUAGCUGGUCUGAGAGGACGACCAGCCACACUGGGACUGAGACACGGCCCAGACUCCUACGGGAGGCAGCAGUGGGGAAUUUUGGACAAUGGGCGAAAGCCUGAUCCAGCAAUGCCGCGUGCAGGAAGAAGGCCUUCGGGUUGUAAACUGCUUUUGUACGGAGCGAAAAGGUCUCCUCUAAUACAGGGGGCUCAUGACGGUACCGUAAGAAUAAGCACCGGCUAACUACGUGCCAGCCGCCGCCGUAA
rnacentral:rRNA from 1 species